rnacentral:rRNA from 1 species
GACGAACGCUGGCGGCGCGCUUAACACAUGCAAGUCGAGCGAGAACCAGGGCUUCGGCCCUGGGGACAGCGGCGAACGGGUGAGUAACACGUGGGUAACCUGCCCCCGGCACCGGGAUAGCCCGGGGAAACUCGGAUUAAUACCGGAUUGCCCCUUCGGCCUUCGGGCCGGUCGGGAAAGGUAGCUUCGGCCUCCGGCCGAGGAUGGGCCCGCGGCGGAUUAGCUUGUUGGCGGGGUAACGGCCCACCAAGGCGGCGAUCCGUAGCGGGUCUGAGAGGAAGAUCAGCCACACUGGGACUGAGAAACGGCCCAGACUCCUACGGGAGGCAGCAGUGGGGAAUCUUGCGCAAUGGGCGAAAGCCUGAUGCAGCGACGCCGCGUGAGGGAAGAAGGCCUUCGGGUUGUAAACCUCUUUCAGGAGGGACGAAGCCACUCGGGUGAAUAGCCCAGAGGGUGACGGUACCUCCAGAAGAAGCCCCGGCUAACUACGUGCCAGCCGCCGCCGUAAGAC